rnacentral:rRNA from 1 species
CGUAGGUGGCAAGCGUUGUCCGGAUUUACUGGGCGUAAAGGAUGCGUAGGCGGAUAUAUAAGUCAGAUGUGAGAUACCCGAGCUCAACUUGGGUGCUGCAUUUGAAACUGUAUAUCGUAGAGUGCGGGAGAGGUAAGUGGAAUUCCUAGUGUAGCGGUGAAAUGCGUAGAGAUUAGGAAGAACACCAGUGGCGAAGGCGACUUACUGGACCGUAACUGACGCUGAGGCAUGGAAAGCGUGGGGAGCAAACAGGAUUAGAUACCCUGGUAGUCCACGCCGUAAACGAUGGGUACUAGGUGUGGGAGGUAUCGACCCCUUCCGUGCCGCAGUUAACACAAUAAGUACCCCGCCUGGGGAGUACGGUCGCAAGAUUA